UGGCCAGUGAUGAAACUUGAGUUGUAUAGAUACUCUGGUGAGUUAAAUGAAAUGCAGUUGACACACUCUCUGAGGCCA
rnacentral:snoRNA from 1 species